rnacentral:rRNA from 1 species
AGUUUGAUCCUGGCUCAGAUUGAACGCUGGCGGCAUGCCUUACACAUGCAAGUCGAACGGCAGCACGGGAGCUUGCUCCUGGUGGCGAGUGGCGAACGGGUGAGUAAUGCAUCGGAACGUGCCCUGAAGUGGGGGAUAACGUAGCGAAAGUUACGCUAAUACCGCAUAUUCUGUGAGCAGGAAAGCAGGGGAUCUUCGGACCUUGCGCUUUUGGAGCGGCCGAUGUCGGACUAGCUAGUUGGUGGGGUAAAGGCCCACCAAGGCGACGAUCCGUAGCGGGUCUGAGAGGAUGAUCCGCCACACUGGAACUGAGACACGGUCCAGACUCCUACGGGAGGCAGCAGUGAGGAAUUUUGGACAAUGGGCGCAAGCCUGAUCCAGCCAUGCCGCGUGAGUGAAGAAGGCCUUCGGGUUGUAAAGCUCUUUCGGUGGGGAAGAAAUUGCUUGGGUUAAUACCCUGAGUAGAUGACGGUACCCGCAUAAGAAGCACCGGCUAACUACGUG